rnacentral:misc_RNA from 1 species
AGCAGCCACGGUAAUUCCAGCUCCAAUAGCGUAUAUUAAAGUUGUUGCAGUUAAAAAGCUCGUAGUUGAAUUUCGGAAUUAAUUAAUUGGUCGUGCCUAUGGUACGUACUGAUUUUAUUGGUUUCUCCCUUCUGACGAACCAUGAUGUCAUUAAUUUGGUGUCGUGGAGAAUCAGGACUGUUACUUUGAAAAAAUUAGAGUGUUUAAAGCAAGCUAACGCUUGAAUACAUUAGCAUAGAAUAAUGAAAUAGGACGUUUGAUCCUAUUUUGUUGGUUUCUAGGAUCAACGUAAUGAUUAAUAGGGAUAGUUGGGGGCAUUAGUAUUCAAUUGUCAAAGGUGAAAUUCUUGGAUUUAUUGAAGACUAACUACUGCAAAAGCAUUUGUUAAGGAUGUUUUUAUUAAUCAAGAAUGAAAGUUAGGGAAUCGAAGACGAUCAGAUACCGUCGUAGUCUUAACCAUAAAUUAUGCCGACUAGGGAUCAGAUGAUGUUAAUUUUUUAAUGACUCAUUCGGCGCCUUA